rnacentral:rRNA from 1 species
UACGUAGGGUGCGAGCGUUAAUCGGAAUUACUGGGCGUAAAGCGUGCGCAGGCGGCUUCGCAAGUCAGGCGUGAAAUCCCCGGGCUUAACCUGGGAAUUGCGCUCGAAACUACUUUGCUGGAGUGUGGCAGAGGAAGGUGGAAUUCCACGUGUAGCGGUGAAAUGCGUAGAGAUGUGGAGGAACACCAAUGGCGAAGGCAGCCUUCUGGGCCAACACUGACGCUCAUGCACGAAAGCGUGGGGAGCAAACAGG